rnacentral:rRNA from 1 species
CCUGAGAUCGGACGAGAUAACCC